rnacentral:lncRNA from 1 species
AUGGAAAAUUGAUUCAUUCAUCAAAAAAAGAGAAAUUUGGCACGAAAAAGAGAGAGAAGAAAAGAUAGAAAUCGUGGAAACGAUUCUAUUACUCACUUUAUUUGUUUUAGUUCAUGAUUUAGCCAUUAUAAUGGCGAGAAUGAGUGGCUAGUUCUUCAUAGUUGGGAAUCGAAAUGUAAUCCUCUUAAACUUUUGUACUCCUGGAUUCAAUUCUAUAUUAAUGUUAUUUGAUUUUGG